rnacentral:lncRNA from 1 species
UACUUUCUUUUUGGGCCAGCAAACCGUUUUUGUUCUUUUCUUGGGCUAACAUUGUACUACAUGCCUUAUAUUUAAGACAUGCUAAAUAAUAUAAAAUAUAAAAUCAAAUAUUAUUUGCAACUCUUCUAUUUGGCAACGGCCGAUUGUGUGAUCAAUCGCCCCAUAAUUCUUCAUAAAAUCUUCAAUUCCUGGUAGCUAAUAAUCGUGCCAUGAUGUUGAUGAGUUGUGGUGUGAUUUUUCCAGAAUUUUGCCCGUUUUGUAAUUUCUCUUCAGAUUCUUUGUGAUGUAUCAACUCUUGCUAGAAUAUCUCUAAACCAUGUAAUUAUACCUAAAAACUUAUUAAAAUACUAUAAAAUUGCUACUCAAAACAUAGAAUGACAGACUGUCA